UAGCUAUCACAUGGGGCUUCAUUCGGGUCCAUUUGGCCCACUAAUUGUCCAAACAAACCCAAAAGGUCAAAAUUAUCCUUCAUGUGCAUGUCUAUCGGGUUUGGCCUUAUUUCUCCAAAUUUUUCUUGUAUGGACAUUUUCCUAUUCCCACGCACUUCUUGCUUAAUAUCUUAGCUAGUCCUCAACCAAAUGUGAGUUUCUAAUCCCAAGUAUUGUAGUAUGGGGACAUAAAUCAAGCUAAAAGGGUUAAAUUAGAGCUCUCUCAAGAACUAUGGCACUAAGGCUUCAAUUUCUUGCAUUUUUCUCUCAAUUGUUCUUCUACACAAGUCUUUGUUUUCUUACAAAUUUCUUUCUCUAUAUGUUAUCUAUGUUUCUUCAAAUAUCAUCCUAAAUUCAAUCAAUCUUGGGCUUAGGAAGUGUUUCAAGCACUUAAGGUCACUUGGGGUUACUCAUAGGAUUUUUCUACCUCUUUCGGGGAAUGUUUCUCCUAAUUCUUAAUCCAAUUACU
rnacentral:lncRNA from 1 species